ACUGUUUGUAUUUCCCUCGCAUUCUGGCCGGAAGUGGCUCCUGGACAUUCAGAGCAGUGUCAAGAACAUGAACGCCGCCAAUGUUGCAACAUGGGCCCGCAUCUAUAUCUAUUCCCCCAAGCGGCUUUCACGCCCCGACUCCCAGUGACCCCCAUGUCUUGCCACCGACGAUGAUGAUGUCGAUGUCUCAGUUGCCUGCAAUAAUGCCACAGAUUUCCUAUCAGACGUUUGCAUCACGCUGGACCUGACCCUUCUACCCAGGAUUGUUGCCUAUUUAAGGCGAUUUCCUGCUGCCAUCAUCCGCUGCGG
ensembl:ncRNA lncRNA:CR45337 long non-coding RNA:CR45337